rnacentral:rRNA from 1 species
UCCGUAGGCGGGUAAUUAAGUCAGAGGUGAAAUCCCACAGCUUAACUGUGGAACUGCCUAGAUACUGGUUAUCUUGAGUUUUAGUGAAGUAGAUAGAAUGUGUAGUGUAGCGGUGAAAUGCAUAGAUAUUACACAGAAUACCGAUUGCGAAGGCAGUCUACUAACUAACAACUGACGCUAAUGGGCGAAAGCGUGGGGAGCGAACAGGAUUAGAUACCCUGGUAGUCC